UCCUGGUUUCGACUCAUCUCUCUCUCUCUCUCUCUCUCUCUCUGUCUGAUGAGCUUUCUCUCCCUUGGUGCGUGAUGUGUGGAGGCGCCAUCAUUUCCGACUUCGUCGAGGAGCGGCUCGACCGCCGCCGCCCCGGGAGCUGCCGCCCCGAGAGGAAGCUGACCCCUCACGAGCUCUGGUCCGAGCUCGACCCCGCCUCCGACCUCCUCAGCCUCGACGGCCCCGUGGCCCAAGGCCACCCCAACCCUUUCUCUCUCGUCGCAAACCAACUCAACCAAGGUCAGUCUCAAGUGUCAUUCACCAUUUCUCUUUUUGGUUCUCUUGCAUGAUCUUCAAAAUGAUAUCGACCUUUUGUUGUCCAGAAAUUUUAUCCUCGACUUUACAUACUAAUACUUGUGAUUUAUACUAUAGACUCACUUCACCAGACAUAUUUAUACAUACAUAUCGAUUAGGAUUGGUACAAAAGAAUCGAAGCCCCCAAUUCUGACUAAGUGUUCAGUCUGACUAGUCUUCAUUUAUACCCUAUUGUUUUUUAAUACGUAUCAUCUUUAGAUCAACGUUAAUCCAAACAUACUUGCUAUUCUUUACCUAAUGGCCAAAAGGUAAGAUUGUUGUUUAGCUAUAGAAGUGUUUUUUUUUUUUUUAUGUUUUUUUCCUUAUUUGUGCUUG
rnacentral:lncRNA from 1 species